GGAGCUUGCUCCUUGAUUCAGCGGCGGACGGGUGAGUAAUACCUAGGAAUCUGCCUGAUAGUGGGGGACAACGUUUCGAAAGGAACGCUAAUACCGCAUACGUCCUACGGGAGAAAGCAGGGGACCUUCGGGCCUUGCGCUAUCAGAUGAGCCUAGGUCGGAUUAGCUAGUUGGUGAGGUAAUGGCUCACCAAGGCGACGAUCCGUAACUGGUCUGAGAGGAUGAUCAGUCACACUGGAACUGAGACACGGUCCAGACUCCUACGGGAGGCAGCAGUGGGGAAUAUUGGACAAUGGGCGAAAGCCUGAUCCAGCCAUGCCGCGUGUGUGAAGAAGGUCUUCGGAUUGUAAAGCACUUUAAGUUGGGAGGAAGGGCAGUAAGCUAAUACCUUGCUGUUUUGACGUUACCGACAGAAUAAGCACCGGCUAACUCUGUGCCAGCAGCCGCGGUAAUACAGAGGGUGCAAGCGUUAAUCGGAAUUACUGGGCGUAAAGCGCGCGUAGGUGGUUCGUUAAGUUGGAUGUGAAAUCCCCGGGCUCAACCUGGGAACUGCAUCCAAAACUGGCGAGC
rnacentral:rRNA from 1 species